UAUACCAAAAUAAACCCCUUUUCACUCCCCGCUGGAUUGAAAAAUUCAAAGAUUAAAAAUAUACAAUCCCGCUUUUCAGUUUUCACAUACCCACGAAAUCUUCCUCAACCUCCCUCUACCCUCAACCGACUAGCCCUCACUCUAGACAUUCUUCAGCAAAAUCUCAAAUUAUUCUCAAAAUAAUCCCAGAUUAUUAUCAGCAAAAUGAGCUCCUCAACUCAAUUCUCUCUAAUCCCUUUCAAGUUAAAUAGGAAAUCUGUAGAAGCAUAUAAUUCUCACUUUCAUCGCUAAUUUCCUCUUUAAUUACAAGCUUCUUUGGAUUUCACGAUUUGAUUUUAUAAUUGCAAUAUUGAAGAUUCAUUCGAACCCAAUCGCAACACCGUCAACAGAUCCAUCACCGCUAAUUUCACUGAUGAGAAAAGGCAUACUGCAAGGGGUUGGUCAAUGCCUAAUCCGCGAGUUUAGAAUGGUUUGCCAUGCUUUGCAAGGAGAUGUCAGCAAAGUUUUUUUUGAGUUAUUAAGUUGUUUUUCCUGUCAUAUAUAUGGCAUGUGUGUGGCUAUUAAGUUCUUGAUUCUACCGCAGCGUUGCCGAGCAAUCUUGGUUGACAAAGACAAAAAAUCUUAAGAGAGCCUCUUUCACCUGGUAGAGGUUCACGAAGACAUGAUGGUCGCAGCAAAGAGAGCACAAUGACAUGGGAUAGAGAAGGAAAUUGCACACAUAUAUCUCCUGGACUAGUCGACAAGAUGAAUGGAGAUGAUGGCAUUUAAGUCGGUCCACGAGGAAUGGUUGGAGCUGCCCUCACAGGACUAGUAAGAGCAGAAGGAGGGGGAGUCGGAGCCAGAGUCCAGCCCCUAACUUUAGAUGGGAGCCUACAUCGAUUGAUAGGAUUAGAAGAAGAUUAAUUUGGAGUUUCAGCACAAGUAUGUAGAGAUUUUGCUGCUGGAAGAUGCAUGAGAAGGAACAGUUGCCAUUUCCUUCCAUCCUUGAUUUUAGAAGGUGGUGCUUGGCCGAUAAUUCAGGCAGCAAAUUUCCGGUAUGUACAUGUGAGGUAUCAGCUCCUGUACGUCAACAUGUUCUUCCUGUUGGAUAGUGCAUUUCUUUCAUGGUUUGAACAGCAGAAUGAUGCAGCAUGGAAACAGUGGUUCGCAUAUUCUCUCCCCGUGAAGGAAGAAGAGGGGACAAGACAUUUGAGAGGGUACUCUGGAUUUCUGGUUACCUUCAACUCAACAGGUGUUGUUCCUUGUGUAUAUCACUUUCACAUCUGAUUAUAGCAAAGAAAUAUGGAGCAACCAAGGCACGGUUUGAUAGUACGUUAAUUGUGAAGAUGGGUAGAUACGCAUAUGGUUGAAGAGAGGGGCGAUGAUCGUACUGCCAGCAUAAUCUAUCAUCGUGCUUGUUCGAAUUUCAACAAUUGCAUAAGGUAUUGAUAUAUCUAAUUAUCUUCAUAAAAUUUCUCUUUUCCUCUUUUGAA